GUGAAUCAUCGAAUCUUUGAACGCACAUUGCGCCCGCCAGUAUUCUGGCGGGCAUGCCUGUUCGAGCGUCAUUUCAACCCUCAAGCCCCAGCGGUUUGGUGUUGGGGACCGGCGAGUACGGAGGCGGGGGGGACUUGUCCCCUCUUCCCUCGGCGCCGCCCCCGAAAUGAAUUGGCGGUCUCGUCGCGGCCUCCUCUGCGUAGUAGCACAACCUCGCAUCAGGAGCGCGGCGCGGCCACUGCCGUAAAACGCCCAACUUUUUUAAGAGUUGACCUCGAAUCAGGUAGGAAUACCCGCUGAACUUAAGCAUAUCAAUAAGCGGAGGA
rnacentral:misc_RNA from 1 species